GUAAUCUUAAAUGACAAGACCCAUAGAAAAUUUGUUAUGAGUUGCAGGUGGGUUUUGGUAAUUAUUAAAACCCGCAGUAAAUAGGUUCGUUGAAAAAGAAAAAAAUCGUGCAGGUUGCUAGCAAGGUUGGUAAUUUAAAUUUUUUGCAGGUGCUUGUUUGGUAUUGGCAAACUUGUAGUGGAUGAUGCCCAUUGUCAUCACUAGAGAAGAUCUCAAGACCUAAAUCUAAAGAAUUUUAUUGUACUCGCGCUUUUUGGCUUUUUGAAUUUAUGCCAAUCUAAGAUUAUUGAACUUAAAUUUGGUUGUUGUACUUAGGGGGCAACUCAUAUUACACUAUAUUAUAUUGCAUUAAAAUACUUUUCUUAUAUAAAUUCAUGUUUGACUGUAAUUUUUAGUUGCAUUGCACUGUAUUAAAAAGAUGUCUAAUACAACAAAAGGAGCAUAAAAUAAGGGUGGGACUAUUUGCACUCUAAAUAUUUCUUUGAACACUUUAUUGUUUUACACACUCAUACACUAAUUAUAAAAUAUUAAGUUUUACUUUGUACACUCUUUAAAAUUUCAAAAAUAUCCUUACUUAAAAUAUUUAAAUUACUUAACUUUAUUUACUUAAAACACUG
rnacentral:lncRNA from 1 species